rnacentral:tRNA from 1 species
AGAUAUGUAAGUUAAAUAAACUGAGGGGUUCAUGUCCCCUUAAUAUACCUAGUGUGUCAUAUCCG